rnacentral:rRNA from 1 species
AGUCGAACGGAACCUUCGGGUUUAGUGGCGGACGGGUGAGUAACGCGUGAGAAUCUGCCUCUAAGAUGGGGACAACAGUUGGAAACGACUGCUAAUACCCGAUAUGGCGAAAGCUGAAAGAUUUAUCGCUUAGAGAUGAGCUCGCGUUGGAUUAGCUAGUUGGUAGUGUAAUGGACUACCAAGGCGACGAUCCAUAGCUGGUCUGAGAGGAUGAGCAGCCACACUGGGACUGAGACACGGCCCAGACUCCUACGGGAGGCAGCAGUGGGGAAUUUUCCGCAAUGGGCGCAAGCCUGACGGAGCAAUACCGCGUGAGGGAGGAAGGCUCUUGGGUCGUAAACCUCUUUUCUCAAGGAAGAUAAUGACGGUACUUGAGGAAUAAGCAUCGGCUAACUCUGUGCCAGCAGCCGCGGUAAUACAGAGGAUGCAAGCGUUAUCCGGAAUGAUUGGGCGUAAAGAGUCCGUAGGUGGUAAUUCAAGUCUGUGGUUAAAGCGUGGAGCUCAACUCCAUAAGGGCCAUGGAAACUGAAUAACUAGAGUGAGGUAGGGGUAGAGGGAAUUCUCGGUGUAGCGGUGAAAUGCGUAGAUAUCGGGAAGAAC